rnacentral:lncRNA from 1 species
UCCAGUCAUACACAAAUAUGUAAACUAGUCAUCGACACCAAACAAGACAACACAGUAUCGGGUUAAGCAUAAUACCAACCAAAAUAAAAGAAACCAUGAUUCAUGCAUACGAGACCAUAAUAUAAUUACAUCAAAUAUCAUACUGCAUUUAAUACUGAAAAUUAGAUCAAACAAUAACAGACCAACACUGUAUCAGACUCGGGCUCCAUUGGCAACCUUAAUCAAUUAUACAUCUAUAAAUUCACAAAGUACAGUUUAAUUAUUUAUUUAGCUUUAAUACCGUGAUAGGAAAUAGGGUGAAGGGUCCCUACCUGUUUUGGGGUCUGAAUUCGACUCUACAGUGUGCCUAUAGGCUGUCCUUAAUUUCCUUGAAUUUUUUCUAGAAAACUGAAACGCACUACCGGUACCUGCACGUGUCCCAAAAAAUCUC